GACGAACCGAGCGAACGUUAUUCGGAAUCACUGGGCUUAAAGGGCGCGUAGGCGGUGAGAUGCGUCCGUUGUGAAAUCGCCCGGCUCAACUGGGCGGGGUCAGCGGAUACGGUCUCACUUGAGCAAGCUAGGGGGCAAUGGAAUUCCCGGUGUAGUGGUGGAAUGCGUAGAUAUCGGGAGGAACACCAGUGGCGAAGGCGGUUGCCUGGGGCUUUGCUGACGCUGAUGCGCGAAAGCGUGGGGAGCGAUCCGG
rnacentral:rRNA from 1 species